GGAUAGUGGUCACUUCCGAAUGUUGAUGAUAAAACAGUACUUGACAGCUGAGAUGUAAAUUGGGGACGGGAAGAUUUAGAUAUUACUGUUUUCUUGUAAGAUUUUUGUGGCGAAUAUGAAGUUGUAGUAUUAACGUUUUGGAACGAUAAUUUUCUUUGAGGACUGGACAAGACUUCAGCAAAUGAUUUAUGAAGUGUAGGGAAAAUUUUACUUGCUUCUUGAUAAGAAACGCAAUUUUGGGACAUAUAAAGCUU
rnacentral:misc_RNA from 1 species